CGCAUAUCAUCUGACGGAGCGCAUCAUUCGAGCUUGCGAUAUUAGACUCCAGAGUUUAUCAAACAAGAGGUUAGGCUCACUCGUCCCUUUUUGCGACACUGGUAGAUGCGCGGGCAUGAUGAUCCAAGCAGAGAAAGGAUAUCCAAGACUUCAGAGAAAUAUGAACCGUUGGUUUGGAGAGAAUUAUUUUCAAGUCUCCAGAUUCUGCUUUAAACAGACAGUGAAUAGCUGGUAGUCACACUUUAGUAACUCGUUUUCCCAUAUUAAAAAUGUCUGAGUUAUGUCUAAGCACCUUCCUCGCGAAUAAUUCGCACCCCGUUCAGUCAGGCUUGUACAUU
rnacentral:sRNA from 1 species